rnacentral:rRNA from 1 species
GACGAACGCUGGCGGCGUGCCUAAUACAUGCAAGUCGAACGCAGGGGGGACGGGUGAGUAACACGUGGGUAACCUCCCAUCAGAGGGGAUAACCCUUGGAAACAGGUGCUAAACCGAUACUGAUGGAUGGACCCGGGGUGCAUUAGCUAGUUGGUGAGGUAACGGCUCACCAAGGCCACGAUGCAUAGCCGGCCUGAGAGGUUGACCGGCCACACUGGGACUGAGACACGGCCCAGACGCCUACGGGAGGCAGCAGUAGGGAAUCUUGGACAAUGGGCGAAAGUCUGACCGAGCAAUGCCGCGUGAGUGAAGAAGGUUUUCGGGUCGUAAAGCACUGUUGUUAGAGAAGCGGUAUCUAACCAGAAAGCCACGGCUAACUACGUGCCAGCCGCCGCGGUAAUAC